GCAAAAGCAUUGAUUGGAAGAAGUAACAAUUGGGAAAUCCAACAGAAAGCAGCCGGCAGAUGAGAGGCGCAGGAAGAACUUUUUGUGAAUACAUCCAGGAGCUUCACACCGAACAGAAUCUAAGUAGGCUGUGACGGAAUUGCAACCGUUAAUAUGCAGGAGUGCUGACAGGCACUUACCAAGACAGGCAAUGUGAGUUGUCUGUGAAUAAAGGUGGUAACACGUAAGUUUUGGCUUUCGUCCUUUAA
rnacentral:ncRNA from 1 species